UAGGUUGUUUCUGCAGCCAAGAAAACCACCUCCGAUGGCAGCAGCAGGACUGCUGCGGGCCAGGAUCGUGCCUGUGACCCUUCAGCUCCCCUCUCCCUGCCCCAUGGCUGUGGUGGCUGGCAGCUGUGCUGCCCAGGGAACCCCCGUCCUUUCUGGGGCUUUCCCUGAGGAGCUGCCAUCUCAACACACCUUCACUUCAGGGAACUUAACAAUAUUCAGCCACAGCUCUCUUUAUUACUGUGAUCCCUGGCUCUCAGCAGCGUGUACCAGGAGCCUUUUUCCCUGCAGUGUUUAUGCACUUUAGCUAUUUGCAGGAUGUUGUCAUCUCGCCCUUUGGUUACUGCUUGCUUAAAGUAGGCAGAUGCUGCACUUAAAAUACUUCUGUCUGGAUUCCUCCAGCCUCUGGAUCAUUAUAGCCUCCCCUUAAACUCUUCUCAGUGUAUCAAUAUCUUUUCUAGUAAUUACAUGCUUAAAGAGCAUGCAAUAGCCCCGGUUUUAAUACACCCUCUCCAGCCCAGUAUAAACACACAGCAACUUGUAUACAGAAAACAAACCAAAAGCCUUACUCGGAAAGCUUUCCACUCCAUCCACAGCUAUCUCUCUUGGGGAGUGAAUGAGAAAGAGCACAUGCUGCGACUGACAGGCUCUCGGCGUCUCUUAGAGCGCUGUUGGACCGUGUUCAACAGCUAAUGGCAGCGACGGUGGUGGAAGGACGCGGGGCAGCAAGCCCGGCUCGCCUCCCUGUCUGAUCCCUCGUUGGUUGGAGAUUGUCAGAGCAGCCUUUCUGGGGAUGCAACAUCAAAUGGGAAUUGAUUUUUGGUUUAAUAGUCUAAAUGCACUGUAGGAACUUAUACCAAAGGAAAAAAGUUCUCCCAGCAUCUCCCUGUGACCACGGGCUGAUGAGGCACUGCUGCUCCCCUGUACCAGGGGACUUGGGGUCCUGGUGUCUGAAGACCACCAGUUCUCACCAUUUCAGCACAAAUGAAGAUAAGCAUCCACGAGGAGGUUAAUGAUGCCUGAUCCUUGCUGUGGGACUGUGCUGGUCCUUGAAGGCUGCCCCGUUUUCUCAUGGCCAGUGCUGGUGAGUGCCGACAACAUCCUGCCCUGAACGGUGAAGAAGCCAAGCUUGCUGGUACAACCUUGCCAUCAACCAGUGUGGGGAGAUGGGCUGUGGAGCCUGCCAGGCCCUCCCACACUGGGCAUCCAUCCUCUGUCAGAGGGAAAUGCAGCUCAGAAGUGUCACUUCUUGGUGCUGGUGGGCCAGGAACACCCCAGAGCCCAAGGAGCAAAUCGUCCUUUGGAAGUGACCUCGGGACGGGCUUGUCCCAGGGCUGCCAGCCUGCCCCUUCCACCAGCACUGACUUCCUGGCUGAGGGAUGGGAAGAGCAGCACAGGGGAAAUAUCCCUGGUGUCAGGUGCUUGCAAAUGCUGGGGUUUGCUGGUGCGUGCCCUGCUGGAGGGCUGUUCUUCACUGAGAUAACAUUGUUUUUUACCAAGGGUUUCAGUUUCCUCCAAGCGUAACUCACUUUGCUGUUAAGACCUGAAUCUCUGCUGAUAAAGGAAGACUGAGCUCACAAAAAUAUAAAGUUUCCAGAAGGUAAUUGGAGAACCUCCUCCGUGCCUUGCACUUACCAUCAGCAGGGCCUGCUCCUGCUUCUGCAAGGUGUCCUGCUCAGAGCACAGUGAGGCAGGGACCCCAGCAGAGCAUCCUGUUUGCAGGGGGCAGCUGUGGUCAAUGACUCUUCCAGGACAGCAGCGCUGUUCCAACAGGCCAGCAUCCCUGAAAUCCCAGGAGAUGCUCUGUGACUUUACAUCACUCUGGUUUUCACACUGAGGACUGGGAGCUUGAGGUGACUCCUUCCUCCUUUAGCGCAUACAAAGAGCUCUCAGGCCCCACUGAGGAGCUGUUUGCCUCUUCCCCUGAUGGGAAGCAUGCCUUUUGGGAGAGCAGCUGGGUUUUCCCUGCAGAACAGGACAUCUCCAGCUGUGCGGCAGAUCUGCCUGGCUCUUAGGUGCUUGCGUGGAUCAGAGGCGGAGGUGAGCACAAAGGGGGAUGGAGAGCAAAGGAGGGCAGGCUGAGCCCAGUGGUAAAUCCAUCCCCUGAAGCUGCAGUGCAAACAGGAAAUGAUCUCUUAACGCUGUGCACCUGCAUCUCCAGGAAUAACAUCCAAAAGGGGCCCAAGCCCGCAGCAGGGUCCAGAGGAAUGGCGCUCUCGAGUCCAAUGGCAGGGAUUUUUAAGACUCCUUGGCCAGCUCCAGUCCUCGCUCAGCUUCUGGUUCCUGCCUUGCACCUCUGCCAGAUGCAUGCUCCCUUUCCCUCUCCUACUGUAAAGGAUUUCUCUGCUGCAGAAAAGCACCGAGGUGGCAGCUCUGGGAGCUUGGGGCUGGCGGUGCCUGGCUGCCCGGCGCAGCAGCACCGGUGUGCUUCGUGCAAGGCUGGUGCGUGAGGACAGUGAUGUUGCUGAGGGCUUUCAGCAGCCAGGUCUGACCUGGAACCAUCAACACAGUGAGCUCACAGCUCCUGGCUAUCCCCUGCCAAAGCUCCUCAUCGGAAAUAAAACGUGUGCACGGAUGAAAAUGUGCUUAUCCUGAGGCUGGGACGGCUGCGGCCAGCCCUGUGUGGAGCCGCCCCGGCUUAGCCAGACACCACCAGCCGGGAUGGGAAUGUCAACAGGACUGAAAACAGUGGGACAGAUCUCCUGCCCAGCCAGGAAUCUGGUUGGGCUGCUGUGAGGCGGGUGGGUGUCAGCACUCACACUAUGUGCAGGUGAGGUGUCACCCAGCUGAGGUGCCUCCCGAAGCACAGGUCCUACCAGGUCUGCUGGCUCUUUCCUUCGGGAGUGACACGAAUUAAAGUGUCUUUAAAGAUCUGGUGCUGAGGGUUUCCCCUGACCCUGGAGGAUCUGACAGGACUUGAAAGGCUGGGGAGCUGCAGCUGAACUCACAGCGGAAGGAAGGUGAUUCCCUGUCAGCCAGACUCGCUGGUUCAAAGACGAAUACACUCCCCUGUAAUCACUGCUUUGCCAGGAGCUUCACCUUUCCUUUGCGGUGCAGGCAGCAUCCACACAAAGCAGAGCCUGACCUUCAGAGGGAUGUGGAGCACUCUGGUGUUGCAGCCACUUCCAAGCCAGAGUCCUCCCCAGUGCUGUGAGAGCGAGGUCGGGCGGUGUUCCCAAAUCCACUGCACUUGCCCUACAGAUGUGGAGGAAGAAAGGGGGCAGAGUGCCUCUGGCAGUGGAGACCUAAAGCUUGGAAAAGCCUGAAAGAAAUUGCCUGCAGCUGCUUCUGCAGCAUGCUGAAAUGCGAGACAUGACAGUACUUUUUGAUUGCAGGGGGGUGGGAGAGGUGUUUUCUGGAGGCUUGCUUCCCCUGUCCCACGGGGGUGUCCAACAGGGUGACUGUGGGAUUUAGCUCUGUGAUGGGGGGAUUAGGCGUUCCUCAACAAAGACGGUUUCACAUUUUUUCUCCCUGAUUUACCACUCGGUGCUCUCCUUCCCUGAACAGAAAUCGUCUCGCUCAGCCCCCUUCCAGUUACAGCGUUAUAAGGGUUUACAGCCCAGCGUCCUUUUCUAGUGUAUUUGCCUUGAUUUAAUGCUUUGAUUUGAAAGUUAUUUUUUACAAUAAGAGAAAGAUGGUCCAUGCCAAAAAAAGCAGUUUCAUAAAAUGCUGAACAUGA